UGGUUCUGGCAUCGAUGAAGAACGCAGCGAAAUGCGAUAAGUAAUGUGAAUUGCAGAAUUCAGUGAAUCAUCGAAUCUUUGAACGCACAUUGCGCCCGCUGGAAUUCCAGCGGGCAUGCCUGUUCGAGCGUCAUUUCAACCCUCAAGCCUGGCUUGGUGUUGGGGCGCUACCCGUCAAACGGUAGGCCCUAAAAUUUAGUGGCGGGCUCGCUAAGACUCUGAGCGUAGUAGUUUUUAAUCACCUCGCUUUGGAAGGAUUAGCGGUGCGCUUGCCGUAAAACCCCCCCUUUCUCUCUGAAAUUUUGACCUCGGAUCAGGUAGGAAUACCCGCUGA
rnacentral:misc_RNA from 1 species